rnacentral:lncRNA from 1 species
CUUUAACAUUUGCAUCAAAUAGAAUCAAGACCUACAUAGAAAAGGCUGUCAUAAUAUCUGAGAAAUGAGUUCUUAAAAUUUUUAGUCAAGGAAAGUAUGUCUCCAUCUACAAUAUAUUCAGACUUUCAGAACUCCGUGGGCAGCACUGCACGAUUCAGCAUAAUUUGUAUUUACAAUGAUUAUGCUUGGUGGUGAGUCCCUGAAGAUCCAGUAUAAAAAAGAAUUUGCUUCUUUUAUGUUAAAGCUAUAAUCUCUGCUAGAUGUUUUGAAAUUGUGUUUAUGUUCUGAAGGUAUUAAAUAAUAUGGACUUUUCUAAGGAGAUGAGAUUCAUUAGAAAAUUCUAGACUGUGAAUUCUGGAGUCUUGGACAUAAAUUCUCCCAGAU